rnacentral:tRNA from 1 species
UCCCUGAUGGUCUAGUGACUAAGACUCCACACUCCCAGUUCAGGGGACCUGGGUUCAAUCCCUGGUCAGGGAG